UCUUGAGCUCACUAUCCAGAAAAGUACAAC
rnacentral:piRNA from 1 species